AUUGAACGCUGGCGGCAGGCCUAACACAUGCAAGUCGAACGAGUGGCGGACGGGUGAGUAAUGUCUGGGAAACUGCCCGAUGGAGGGGGAUAACUACUGGAAACGGUAGCUAAUACCGCAUACCAUCGGAUGUGCCCAGAUGGGAUUAGCUAGUAGGUGGGGUAACGGCUCACCUAGGCGACGAGCCCUAGCUGGUCUGAGAGGAUGACCCGCCACACUGGAACUGAUGUACGGUCCGGACUCCUACGUGAGGCAGAAGUGUGGCAUAUUGCACAAUGUGCGCAAGCAUGAUGUAGCCAUGCCGCGUGUAUGAAGAAAGCCUUCGGGUUGUAAAGUACUUUCAGCGCGGAGGCGUUAGUCGCAGAAGAAGCACCGGCCAACUCCGUGACAGCAGCCGCGGUAAUAC
rnacentral:rRNA from 1 species